AAACCAUGAUGAGGACACUGUGUUAAUAAACUUUUAAAUCUGUCCCAUGCUUUAAAUAGUGAUUCUCCAUCUACCUGAGCAAAAUUUGUGUAAUUCCUCAUGGACAC